rnacentral:rRNA from 1 species
GAUGGACGCUGGCGGCGUGCCUAAUACAUGCAAGUCGAGCGAACAGACGAGGAGCUUGCUCCUCUGACGUUAGCGGCGGACGGGUGAGUAACACGUGGAUAACCUACCUAUAAGACUGGGAUAACUUCGGGAAACCGGAGCUAAUACCGGAUAAUAUAUUGAACCGCAUGGUUCAAUAGUGAAAGACGGUUUUGCUGUCACUUAUAGAUGGAUCCGCGCCGCAUUAGCUAGUUGGUAAGGUAACGGCUUACCAAGGCAACGAUGCGUAGCCGACCUGAGAGGGUGAUCGGCCACACUGGAACUGAGACACGGUCCAGACUCCUACGGGAGGCAGCAGUAGGGAAUCUUCCGCAAUGGGCGAAAGCCUGACGGAGCAGCGCCGCGUGAGUGAUGAAGGUCUUCGGAUCGUAAAACUCUGUUAUUAGGGAAGAACAAAUGUGUAAGUAACUAUGCACGUCUUGACGGUACCUAAUCAGAAAGCCACGGCUAACUACGUG